UACAGAGGUCUCAAGCGUUAAUCGGAAUCACUGGGCUUAAAGGGUGCGUAGGCGGCGAGGCAAGUGUCUUGUGAAAUCCCAUGGCUCAACCAUGGAAUUGCUCGAUAGACUGCCUCGCUUGAGGUUGGUAGGGGUCGCCGGAACUCUAGGUGGAGCGGUGAAAUGCGUAGAUAUCUAGAGGAACGCCAAAGGUGAAGACAGGCGACUGGGCCAAUUCUGACGCUGAGGCACGAAAGCGUGGGGAGCGAACGGG
rnacentral:rRNA from 1 species